rnacentral:rRNA from 1 species
UACGUAGGGGGCUAGCGUUGUCCGGAAUCAUUGGGCGUAAAGCGCGUGUAGGCGGUUCGGUAAGUCCGCUGUGAAAGUCGGGGGCUCAACCCUCGAAUGCCGGUGGAUACUGUCGGACUAGAGUACGGAAGAGGCGAGUGGAAUUCCUGGUGUAGCGGUGAAAUGCGCAGAUAUCAGGAGGAACACCGGUGGCGAAGGCGGGUCUCUGGGCCGUAACUGACGCUGAGGAGCGAAAGCAUGGGGAGCGAACAGG